rnacentral:rRNA from 1 species
AAUCAACGCUGGCGGCGCGCUUAACACAUGCAAGUCGCACGAGAAAGGGAGCAAUCCUGAGUCAUGUGGCGUACGGGUGGGGAACACGUGGGAAUCUACCUCUUGGCGGGGAAUAACCCUGGGAAACCGGGGCUAAUACCGCAUAAGCUCGUGAGAGGAACGCAGCAAUGCACCGAGAGAGGAGCCCGCGGCCGAUGAGCUAGUUGGUGGGGUAAUGGCUCACCAAGGCGAAGAUCGGUAGCCGGCCUGAGAGGGCACACGGCCACACUGGCACUGAAACACGGGCCAGACUCCUACGGGAGGCAGCAGUGGGGGAUCUUGCACAAUGGGGGAAGCCCUGAUGCAGCGACGCCGCGUGAGCGAUGAAGCCCUUCGGGGUGUAAAGCUCUUUCGACAGGAGCGAUAAUGACGGUACCUGGAGAAGAAGCUGCGGCUAACUACGUG